rnacentral:rRNA from 1 species
UGAGGAAUAUUGGUCAAUGGGCGCAAGCCUGAACCAGCCAAGUCGCGUGAGGGAAGACGGCCCUACGGGUUGUAAACCUCUUUUGCCGGGGAGCAAGCCUGAGCACGUGUGCCCAGGCGGAGAGUACCCGGAGAAAAAGCAUCGGCUAACUCCGUGCCAGCAGCCGCGGUAAUACGGAGGAUGCGAGCGUUAUCCGGAUUUAUUGGGUUUAAAGGGUGCGCAGGCGGGCUGUUAAGCCGGCGGUAAAAAUUCAGGGCUCAACCCUGUCGAGCCGUCGGAACUGGCAGUCUUGAGUGGGCGAGAAGUAUGCGGAAUGCGUGGUGUAGCGGUGAAAUGCAUAGAUAUCACGCAGAACGCCGAUUGCGAAGGCAGCAUACCGGCGCCCGACUGACGCUGAGGCACGAAAGCGUGGGGAUCGAACA